rnacentral:rRNA from 1 species
UAGGGAAUCUUCGGCAAUGGGGGCAACCCUGACCGAGCAACGCCGCGUGAGUGAAGAAGGUUUUCGGAUCGUAAAGCUCUGUUGUAAGAGAAGAACGUGUGUGAGAGUGGAAAGUUCACACAGUGACGGUAACUUACCAGAAAGGGACGGCUAACUACGUGCCAGCAGCCGCGGUAAUACGUAGGUCCCGAGCGUUGUCCGGAUUUAUUGGGCGUAAAGCGAGCGCAGGCGGUUUAAUAAGUCUGAAGUUAAAGGCAGUGGCUUAACCAUUGUUCGCUUUGGAAACUGUUAAACUUGAGUGCAGAAGAGGAGAGUGGAAUUCCAUGUGUAGCGGUGAAAUGCGUAGAUUUAUGGAGGAACACCGGUGGCGAAAGCGGCUCUCUGGUCUGUAACUGACGCUGAGGCUCGAAAGCGUGGGGAGCAAACAGG